rnacentral:hammerhead_ribozyme from 1 species
AUCCAACUGACGAGUCUCAAACAGGACGAAGUGCGCAUUGUUCGGGAU